UAGCGGCGAGUGAAGCGGCAAAAGCUCAAAUUUGAAAUCUGGCGUCUUUGGCGUCCGAGUUGUAAUUUGAAGAAGGUAUCUUUGGGCCCGGCUCUUGUCUAUGUUCCUUGGAACAGGACGUCACAGAGGGUGAGAAUCCCGUGCGAUGAGAUGACCCGGGUCUGUGUAAAGUUCCUUCGACGAGUCGAGUUGUUUGGGAAUGCAGCUCUAAGUGGGUGGUAAAUUCCAUCUAAAGCUAAAUAUUGGCGAGAGACCGAUAGCGAACAAGUACAGUGAUGGAAAGAUGAAAAGAACUUUGAAAAGAGAGUGAAAAAGUACGUGAAAUUGUUGAAAGGGAAGGGCUUGAGAUCAGACUUGGUAUUUUGCAUGCUGCUCUCUCGGGGGCGGCCGCUGCGGUUUACCGGGCCAGCAUCGGUUUGGAGCGGCAGGAUAAUGGCGGAGGAAUGUGGCACGGCUUCUGCUGUGUGUUAUAGCCUCUGACGAUGCUGCCAGCCUAGACCGAGGACUGCGGUUUUUAACCUAGGAUGUUGGCAUAAUGAUCUUAAGUCGCCCGUC
rnacentral:rRNA from 1 species